CAGCCGCCGCGGUAAUACGUAGGGUGCGAGCGUUAAUCGGAUUUACUGGGCGUAAAGCGUGCGCAGGCGGCCCGUUAAGACAGGUGUGAAAUCCCUGGGCUCAACCUAGGAAUUGCGCUUGUGACUGGCGGGCUCGAGUACGGUAGAGGGGGGGGGAAUUCCUGGUGUAGCAGUGAAAUGCGUAGAGAUCAGGCGGCACACCGAUGGCGAAGGCAGCCCCCUGGGCCUGUACUGACGCUCAUGCACGAAAGCGUGGGGAGCAUACAGGAUUAGAUACCCUGGUAGUCCACGCCCUAAACGAUGGGUACUAGCCGUUUGGUGCGCGAGAGCGCUGAGUGGCGAAGCUAACGCGUGAAGUACCCCGCCUGGGGAGUACGGCCGCAAGGUUGAAACUUAAAGGAAUUGGCGGG
rnacentral:rRNA from 1 species